rnacentral:rRNA from 1 species
CUAGCCCUACGGGGGGCAGCAGUAGGGAAUUUUCGUCAAUGGGCGCAAGCCUGAACGAGCAAUGCCGCGUGAACGAGGAAGGUCUUCGGAUCGUAAAGUUCUGUUGAAGGGGAAAAAGAGCGGAGAGAGGAAAUGGUCUCCGAUUGAUAUUACCCUUCGAGGAAGUCGCGGCUAACUACGUGCCAGCAGCCGCGGUAAUACGUAGGUGGCGAGCGUUAUCCGGAAUGAUUGGGCGUAAAGGGUGGGUAGGCGGCCUGCUAAGUCGGGAGUGACAGGAAACGGCU